GCUUACGGCCACACCUCCCUGAGCACGCCCGAUCUCGUCUGAUCUCGGAAGCUAAGCAGGGUCGGGCCCGGUUAGUCAUUGGAUGGGAGAUCGCCUGGGAAUACCAGGUGCUGUAAGCC
rnacentral:rRNA from 1 species